GAUGAACGCUAGCGGCAGGCUUAACACAUGCAAGUCGAGGGGCAGCGAGAGAUGUGCUUGCACAUUUUGUCGGCGACCGGGCGCACGGGUGCGUAACGCGUAUGCAACCUACCCAUAACGAGGGGGAUAACACUGAGAAAUUGGUACUAAUACCCCGUAAUAUUAUUUGAGGCAUCUUAGAUAGUUGAAAGUUCCGGCGGUUAUGGAUGGGCAUGCGUUGUAUUAGCUAGAUGGCGGGGUAACGGCCCACCAUGGCGACGAUCAGUAGCCGGUCUGAGAGGAUGAACGGCCACAUUGGGACUGAGAUACCGGCCCAGACUCCUACGGGGAGGCAGCAGGUGGGGAAUAUUGGGCAAUGGGGGAAACCCUGACCCAGCAACGCCGCGUGAAGGAAGAAGGCCUUCGGGUUGUAAACUUCUUUUAGCAGGGACGAAGAACGUGACGGUACCUGCAGAAAAAGCAACGGCUAACUACGUG
rnacentral:rRNA from 1 species